rnacentral:rRNA from 1 species
AGAGUUUGAUCCUGGCUCAGGAUGAACGCUAGCUACAGGCUUAACACAUGCAAGUCGAGGGGAAACGACAUCGAAAGCUUGCUUUUGAUGGGCGUCGACCGGCGCACGGGUGAGUAACGCGUAUCCAACCUGCCCACCACUUGGGGAUAACCUUGCGAAAGUAAGACUAAUACCCAAUGAUAUCUCUAGAAGACAUCUGAAAGAGAUUAAAGAUUUAUCGGUGAUGGAUGGGGAUGCGUCUGAUUAGCUUGUUGGCGGGGUAACGGCCCACCAAGGCGACGAUCAGUAGGGGUUCUGAGAGGAAGGUCCCCCACAUUGGAACUGAGACACGGUCCAAACUCCUACGGGAGGCAGCAGUGAGGAAUAUUGGUCAAUGGACGAGAGUCUGAACCAGCCAAGUAGCGUGCAGGAUGACGGCCCUAUGGGUUGUAAACUGCUUUUAUAAGGGAAUAAAGUGAGUCUCGUGAGACUUUUUGCAUGUACCUUAUGAAUAAGGACCGGCUAAUUCCGUGCCAGCAGCCGCGGUAAUACGGAAGGUCCGGGCGUUAUCCGGAUUUAUUGGGUUUAAAGGGAGCGUAGGCCGGAGAUUAAGCGUGUUGUGAAAUGUAGACGCUCAACGUCUGCACUGCAGCGCGAACUGGUUUCCUUGAGUACGCACAAAGUGGGCGGAAUUCGUGGUGUAGCGGUGAAAUGCUUAGAUAUCACGAAGAACUCCGAUUGCGAAGGCAGCUCACUGGAGCGCAACUGACGCUGAAGCUCGAAAGUGCGGGUAUCGAACAGGAUUAGAUACCCUGGUAGUCCGCACGGUAAACGAUGGAUGCCCGCUGUUGGUCUGAAUAGGUCAGCGGCCAAGCGAAAGCAUUAAGCAUCCCACCUGGGGAGUACGCCGGCAACGGUGAAACUCAAAGGAAUUGACGGGGGCCCGCACAAGCGGAGGAACAUGUGGUUUAAUUCGAUGAUACGCGAGGAACCUUACCCGGGCUUGAAUUGCAGAGGAAGGAUUUGGAGACAAUGACGCCCUUCGGGGCCUCUGUGAAGGUGCUGCAUGGUUGUCGUCAGCUCGUGCCGUGAGGUGUCGGCUUAAGUGCCAUAACGAGCGCAACCCCUCUCCUUAGUUGCCAUCAGGUCAAGCUGGGCACUCUGGGGACACUGCCACCGUAAGGUGUGAGGAAGGUGGGGAUGACGUCAAAUCAGCACGGCCCUUAC